UUGACUCUGGCCUCAAAUCAGGUAGGACUACCCGCUGAACUUAAGCAUAUCAAUAAGCGGAGGA
rnacentral:rRNA from 5 species